GCUAUUACAAAACAGUGGCAGAUUUCGAACUCUGUCAGUAAGAAUGGAUUGACAAAGAAAAGAACUAUGUAGACACACAGGGGGAUUAUGGGUAAAGAGACAUUGGAAGAGCAUCAAAAGUUCUCUGAAGGAAAACUUCUACUUCACAAACGGGGAAACUGAGGCUUCCAGUAAGGUUAAGAGACUUCACGGUUAUACAAAGAGAUGAAACCACCAAGAAAUAGUGGUUGGAAAGAAGAUUUAAAACCAAGUGCCAACCAUGGCAGAUUUGAAAUCCAGUCAAUGCCAGCCAAAUAUGAACUCAAAAGUGCUCAUAAGAAGGGACUAAGGUUUACAAAACAAUCCUCUUAGAUGAGCUAAAUACAAGAGAAUCAGAACCAUAUGGGUUAAAUUCCCCUUGAAAUACUCAUGGAUUUAAAAUUAAGUGGAAAAGUGCUUGGCACAGCAUAAAUUCCAAGCAUUUGAAAUGCAGUUAGAAAUCAUUUUCUUUGAGACCUGAAAGGAUUCCUGAAGAUAUGCUGCACAAACACCAGGUAUUCUUAUAGCAAUGGCAACUACUUCUCAUAGUGACAAUAGUUCAAACUAUGUAACAGAAGAACCUCAAUCUGAAUCCCAGCCCUACCUAGUAUUAACACUGUGCCACUCCAUAGCCUCAAUCAGCCUUGAGGCUGGCAUGUGUCAAAUACAGACAGUAACAGUUCCUUUCAGUGUCCUUACAGUUAGGGUGAAAUAUUAUAUGUAAAAUACCUAGAAUUAUCUCAAGCAUGGUUUUUAUCAGUUAUAUUUUUUAAAGCAUUACUCUAAAAGGGGUCAAUAAUGAAGUGAUUUAAGAAAAAGCUUCUUAAAGUAGCAUAAAACAUCCAAGAGGGACAGUUUAAUAAGCAGAACCACCUGUCCCAACUUAUAGACUUUAGGAUAUCCUUUAGAAGACUGUGUGGGUUAAAGGAGGGACUUUGAGAUACCUAGGCCCAUGACUAAAAGGUAAGUUAACUGCAUUCUAUGAAAACUACAAAAAGAAAGCCCAUGUUUCAUUGAAAGAAGCAAGUGGUGUGUUGAAAGAAAAGCAGGUAGAAACCAAAUCCCUCUUCAUUCAAGAGUUUGUUAAUCUUGUGUCAACCCCUUAUGUCAUGAUCAGAACAUUCCUUAGAAAAAACAUCAAUUCCAACUUUUCUCUGUAGAUGAAAAACCCGAAACUAAGCAGCGAAAUGAUGUGUCCAAGGUCACAUGGUGAUUGGAUAGUACAGCCGGCACUAGAACUUGAGUUUCCUGCCUCUGGUCCAGUACUAUUCUCACUAAAUCAUGUUACUAUUCUGGACGCAAGCCUAAUAAACGCGGGUGCCAAGUGGCAACUGGUUUCCCCUCCCGAGGAGCAAUGGAAGGGGCAGCAGAGUCCUUUUUCACCUUGGAACAUGCCAGAGAUGGCGUCAAGAAAGCCAGGUUUAAACCAGGUCAGCCAGCAGGGUUUGUCUAAAGCACAGCUGAGCAAGCUGCAAUCAAGCCAGGAUUCCGUCAGUACAACGGGUGUGUCAGCGACAAAGUCGAGUGAAUGCCGUUCAAGCCAAAUAUUCAUUGAGAAGACUCGGUAAGAUAGGUCCAGGUGGGGGAAGCAAAGAGAAAAUGAUUAGGUGAAGGUUGAAAAAAGGGUGCUGGAUGACUGGGUUUUCCUCUACAGCAUCCCUCUUGCACUGAGGUGGCUCUGAGCACACUUAGCUGUUUGUGGAAGUUCCUCAAGACAUUUGCCAUCACUUGGUAUGCUUGCAUUUGCAAGAUUCCCACUUCAGAAAAAAAUCUGAAUGCUGACACCAUGCCUAAAACAUUAUUAAGCCAUGAGCAGAUGACUUUGCCAAAAU